CCUACGGGAGGCAGCAGUAGGGAAUCUUCGGCAAUGGAGGCAAGCCUGAUGCAGCGACGCCGCGUGAGUGAAGAAGUAUUUCGGUAUGUAAAGCUCUAUCAGCAGAGAAGAACAUGACGGUACCUGACUAAGAAGCCCCGGCUAACUACGUGCCAGCAGCCGCGGUAAUACGUAGGGGGCACGCGUUAUCCGGAUUUACUGGGGGUAAAGGGAGCGUAGACGGUGCAGCAAGUCUGAUGUGAAAGGUCGGGGCCCAACCCCGGGACUGCAUUGGAAACUGUUGAUCUGGAGUACAGGAGAGGUAAGCGGAAGUCCGAGUGUAGCGGUGAAAUGCGUAGAUAUUAGGAGGAACACCAGUGGCGAAGGCGGCUUACUGGACUGUAACUGACGUUGAGGCUCGAAAGCGUGGGGAGCAAACAGGAUUAGAUACCCCAGUAGUC
rnacentral:rRNA from 1 species